GGGGAUUUAGCUCAGUGGUAGAGCACUUGCCUAGCACGCACAAGGCCCUGGGUUCAGUCCCCAGCUCCG
rnacentral:tRNA from 1 species